rnacentral:rRNA from 1 species
UACGUAGGUGGCAAGCGUUGUCCGGAAUUAUUGGGCGUAAAGCGCGCGCAGGCGGUCCUUUAAGUCUGUUGUGAAAGCCCACGGCUCAACCGUGGAGGGUCAUUGGAAACUGGGGGACUUGAGUGCAGAAGAGAAGAGUGGAAUUCCACGUGUAGCGGUGAAAUGCGUAGAGAUGUGGAGGAACACCAGUGGCGAAGGCGACUCGGUGGUCUGUAACUGACGCUGAGGAGCGAAAGCGUGGGGAGCAAACAGG